rnacentral:rRNA from 1 species
AUUAGAUACCCGGGUAGUCCUAGCCGUAAACGAUACUCGCUAGGUGUCGGCCACGGUGCGACCGUUGUCGGUGCCGUAGGGAAGCCGUGAAGCGAGCCACCUGGGAAGUACGGCCGCAAGGCUGAAACUUAAAGGAAUUGGCGGGGGAGCACCACAACGGGUGGAGCUUGCGGUUUAAUUGGAUUCAACGCCGGAAAUCUUACCGGGACCGACAGCAAUAUGAGGGCCAGGCUGAAGACUUUGCCGGAUUAGCUGAGAGGUGGUGCAUGGC